rnacentral:tmRNA from 1 species
GGGGACGACAGGCUUCGACGUGGUCGGUUCCGUAUUGGUGGUAGCGAGCCGAGGUUCCGGGUGGCCUCGUAAAACCCCGGGAAAAACACACAUGCGGACUCUCACGAGUACGCCCUCGCUGCCUAGAUCCAAUCUAGGUGAGUGAGGACUCAGCCCUCGCCUGCCGGCCGUGAGGGACCUGGGUUCAGAUGCCGGCUCCACCUGGGGAGGAACGCCUUCGCCGAACCGGGGAAAUCAUCAGACGGGCUGGCCGGACGCAACCCCGCCCGCAAGGCGAGCGAUCGGCGAGAUCAGAGUGCGGGCUACGCUCGUAGAAGCUCCCAGUACGCGGCUGCGGACGUGGGUUCAAUUCCCACCGUCUCCACCA